AAGUAUUAAAUGUGUCAUAAAUAAUAGAUUUCUAUAUCAUGCGUGAAAGAUCAGACUUGACGAAUUUUUACAUCAACUGUGAGUAAUCAACAAUGAUAUGAAAACAUGUCAGACUUGAUGUGUCACGAUUGAUUGGUUAUUCCAUCAAAUUUGAUUGCACAUUGCUGACUUAUAUUUCUAUCAAGGUUGAUCUCUCAUAAUUUUCGAAGAUUUACAUCACUGAUGAUUAAAAUUUGAAUGCCGAACUCAAAGGGAGUAAGCAGUCUAGCAAUAUGCCAAAACGUAUUUGUUAGAAGGAGAUGAAGCAUCACAUGUACACAAAAGUUUCCAUCAGAUUUUUCACACUGCCCUUU